UAGGGAAUCUUCCACAAUGGGCGAAAGCCUGAUGGAGCAACGCCGCGUGUGUGAUGAAGGGUUUCGGCUCGUAAAACACUGUUGUAAGAGAAGAAUGACGUUGAGAGUAACUGUUCAAUGUGUGACGGUAUCUUACCAGAAAGGAACGGCUAAAUACGUGUCAG
rnacentral:rRNA from 1 species